rnacentral:lncRNA from 1 species
GAGAAGGAACUACUGAAAACUCCAGAGGAGCUGAAGGGAAACCACAGCACUCCUGAGUCACCAGCAAGCAAAUGCUGAUGGGCUUUUUUUUUUUUUUUGCCUGUUCAAAUAUUGCUGCUGCUGUCCCACAGGGAAAAGGAGGGACAGAAAUCAGGAUGACGCAGCUUAUCAAGGAACUCUGAAGUUUAAUAAAACAGGAAAGCCCAUAAAACAAAGAGGAGAGAUGGCAGCAGGGAGCCUGGCAAUGGGUCUAUGAGGGAAAGGAGCAGCUGGGGUGCCACCAACACCAGCGCUGCUGGCACUGAUUGCACUGAGUGCAGCUGCUGUGUUAAUUGCAGCUGAAGUUCGUUCCCUUUGGGCUCUCUGGUGCUGCAUGGCUGGGACAGCCCCACUGAUGGGACUUGAGGAGGGAUGGGGCCGAGAUCAGAGCAUGGCCGGACACAGAACCUCCAGAUGCCUUUGCCAUUGGAACAGCAGGGACUGCGUGCCCUAUCCGAGCAGUGCUGAGGAUGGAAAUGGGAACUUGCCUCCUCCCUGUGCAGCCCACCCUGCCUCUGGGAGGGUCCUCACUCACCACUGCCCAUUCUUGCCCCAGUGCUCACGUAGUAGCAGCCAGAAAGUUCAGCCAGCUUUGGGCUUACUCCUCGGACCAGAUGAACUUAGUGGUCUUUUCCAACCGUAAUGACUCUCUGAUUCUCUGACAUUACUCUUCCUGAUAGGAACAGGCAGAAAGCCACAGAAAUGAUGCUGAAAUUAAUAUGAAAAGAAAAUAACACAGACCAAAAUAAUACCGACCAACCAAAAACACCCUGAGAAGGAUCGUGGUGUUUGUGUUCAUAUAUAUCAAUGUCACAAUCCAGACUGGAAAGGGCAUUUGCCACCUUUGGCCCUUUCCAACCAGUCUGUCAGCAGCAUCUGCUAGCUGGCACCUGGUGUACCCACUGAGUGGAAAAUAAUCACACGUGCGGCGAGGUGAGAGCUGAGAAUCACAGACCUAAGGGUGGUCUGCAUCACCGCCGGGUGGCAGCAUGAGAGGAGACCCAAGAGCAUCCAGGAAUAAAACCGUGGCAGGAUUUGUAAGGGAAGAAAAC